UUCCAAACUGAAGCCGCUGUAUGUAACUAA
rnacentral:piRNA from 1 species